rnacentral:rRNA from 1 species
GUGGUGAAUCCUCCAGCUCAACUGGAGAACUGCCAUGGAUACUGGGUGUCUCGAGGGUGGUAGGGGUAUGCGGAACUAUCGGUGGAGCGGUGAAAUGCGUUGAUAUCGAUAGGAACUCCGGUGGCGAAGGCGGCAUACUGGACCACAUCUGACGCUGAGGCGCGAAAGCCAGGGGAGCGAACGGGAUUAGAUACCCCGGUAGUCCUGGCCCUAAACGAUGGGUACUAGCUAGUAGGGUUCACAUGACUUUACUGGCGAAGCAAAAGUGAUAAGUACCCCGCCUGGGGAGUAUGGUCGCAAGGCUGAAACUCAAAGGAAUUGACGGGGGCUCACACAAGCCGUGGAACAUGUGGCUUAAUUUCNAGGCUCCCCCAAAAACCUUUUCCUAGGCUUGACAUGUGCGAUAGCGUUUAGCGGUAACUACCGACAUCGGAUAGCUGAUUCCUCGCAAGAGGAGGACUCAUACAGGUGCUGCAUGGAUGUCGUCAGCUCAUGUCCCUGAGAUGUCGGGUUAAUUCCCUUUACGAGCGAACCCCUUAC